AAGCCCAAUCCCUGUCAAUGAACGGCAUAAGAAGAAGAGACUGAGAGUAGAAGUGUCGAACCAGCUCCGUCGCCGCAAAGAUCUUUCUAGACACGCGUCGUUGCCCCAGUCUCCGCCUCUGUCUCAGCUGAAGAUUCCAGAUUAGUGGAAAAUGAAGAAAGGGUUGCAUCCUCAGAUGCAAUGGAUAUCCUAUGUUACUCAGAGCGGCAGGCUGAUGCAUGUUAUGAUGACUAGAAUACACUCUGUUGGUAAAGUUUACCACUUGAGGGCAAGACGCCAGAUGGCUCAGAGUGUGGGACAGAUAGCCAAGUUUAAGCGUCGCUAUGAGCAGAAGAAUGAGGAGAAUGAAGAGAAGUGAUUUUUGAGAUGCAAAGAGAAGCAAGGUUUCAUAUGGAGUACACAACUUAAUAAAGGUUUGUUUCACAUCCAAUGAGGAGCGGACUCUCUCCAACAAAUUUUGAAGUCAAGCCUGAUAUGAGGAGAAAAACCUACUUUCAAGCUGUAGUCUCGUAUUCUAGAACAUUGUUCUUAACUGAAGAUGUGUUUUUGAUAAAUUAUGUUAUUUGGUUUAAAGUCAUUUUAGCUAGCAAAUUUGAAUGGUAUGGUUUGUGCAAGUACAUGACUUCAAAUACAAAAGAGCUAAAAGCUUAUGAAGAUUAACUGUUCACCCAAA